CGGGGGGAGCAAGCGUUGUUCGGAUUUACUGGGCGUAAAGGGCGCGUAGGCGGCCACCGCAAGUCGGUUGUGAAAUCUCCGGGCUUAACCCGGAAAGGUCAAUCGAUACUGCGGGGCUAGAGUGCAGAAGGGGCAACUGGAAUUCUCGGUGUAGCGGUGAAAUGCGUAGAUAUCGAGAGGAACACCUGCGGCGAAGGCGGGUUGCUGGGCUGACACUGACGCUGACAGCGCGAAAGCUAGGGGAGCGAACGGGAUUAGAUACCCCGGUAGUCCUAGCCUUAAACGAUGAAUGCUUGGUGUCUGGGGUUUUAUAGUCCCCGGGUGCCGUCGCUAACGCUUUAAGCAUUCCGCCUGGGGAGUACGGUCGCAAGACUG
rnacentral:rRNA from 1 species